rnacentral:tRNA from 1 species
GGGCGUGUAGCUCAUUUGGUAGAGCGCUCGCUUAGCAUACCCUCUGUAGAUCAUUUCAGGGGCUACCCUAAUGCGAGAGGUACUGGGUUCGAUUCCCAGCUCGUCCA